ACAAUAUUACCCAAGAUCAACAGGAGUAUCCGCUUGAAGAAUAUAGAAUAUUUAUUUUAUAAAAACCGAACUCCGAGUUACGCAAAUUCAAUAUUGUAAAAUCCGCGAGUAGAUAUUGUUGCACCUGAUUUAUUGAGGAUUUUACAACAUGUAGAAUCUGGGAGCAGACAUUACUACAUCUGACCUAAAACAUUAAAAAACGCGGGAAAACGUUAAAAAACGCAUUAAAAAUAGCUUUUGGGAGAGCGUGAGCAACAGCUAUAUCAGAGUGCAAUAAAGUAACAUUUCAAGGAUUAUUUAGCGAUUUACAAUUGAUAUGAUUUUUAAAGGUAGCUUACAUUGAUGAGGAGUGCGAAGUAUAUAUAAAAUAAAUAUAUUAUAUAGAAGUUUAGAUUUCAUAAUCACGGCAAUAAUCUGUUGUAACAGCUUUAUUAUGAGAAUACAUAAAAUAAUACAUCUUAAUCCCAAUCAUCAAUCUUAAUUUAUACCAAAGGAGUUGCGUUUUUCUCUCCACGGCGCAAAGGAGGCUCCUGGUAUGUCCUCGCAAGAUAUUAUAGG
rnacentral:lncRNA from 1 species